UUAAGCGACUAAGCGUACACGGUGGAUGCCCUGGCAGUCAGAGGCGAUGAAGGACGUGCUAAUCUGCGAUAAGCGUCGGUAAGGUGAUAUGAACCGUUAUAACCGGCGAUUUCCGAAUGGGGAAACCCAGUGUGAUUCGUCACACUAUCAUUAACUGAAUCCAUAGGUUAAUGAGGCGAACCGGGGGAACUGAAACAUCUAAGUACCCCGAGGAAAAGAAAUCAACCGAGAUUCCCCCAGUAGCGGCGAGCGAACGGGGAGCAGCCCAGAGCCUGAAUCAGUGUGUGUGUUAGUGGAAGCGUCUGGAAAGGCGUGCGAUACAGGGUGACAGCCCCGUACACAAAAAUGCACAUAUUGUGAGCUCGAUGAGUAGGGCGGGACACGUGGUAUCCUGUCUGAAUAUGGGGGGACCAUCCUCCAAGGCUAAAUACUCCUGACUGACCGAUAGUGAACCAGUACCGUGAGGGAAAGGCGAAAAGAACCCCGGCGAGGGGAGUGAAAAAGAACCUGAAACCGUGUACGUACAAGCAGUGGGAGCACGCUUAGGCGUGUGACUGCGUACCUUUUGUAUAAUGGGUCAGCGACUUAUAUUCUGUAGCAAGGUUAACCGAAUAGGGGAGCCGAAGGGAAACCGAGUCUUAACUGGGCGUUAAGUUGCAGGGUAUAGACCCGAAACCCGGUGAUCUAGCCAUGGGCAGGUUGAAGGUUGGGUAACACUAACUGGAGGACCGAACCGACUAAUGUUGAAAAAUUAGCGGAUGACUUGUGGCUGGGGGUGAAAGGCCAAUCAAACCGGGAGAUAGCUGGUUCUCCCCGAAAGCUAUUUAGGUAGCGCCUCGUGAAUUCAUCUCCGGGGGUAGAGCACUGUUUCGGCAAGGGGGUCAUCCCGACUUACCAACCCGAUGCAAACUGCGAAUACCGGAGAAUGUUAUCACGGGAGACACACGGCGGGUGCUAACGUCCGUCGUGAAGAGGGAAACAACCCAGACCGCCAGCUAAGGUCCCAAAGUCAUGGUUAAGUGGGAAACGAUGUGGGAAGGCCCAGACAGCCAGGAUGUUGGCUUAGAAGCAGCCAUCAUUUAAAGAAAGCGUAAUAGCUCACUGGUCGAGUCGGCCUGCGCGGAAGAUGUAACGGGGCUAAACCAUGCACCGAAGCUGCGGCAGCGACGCUGAUGCGUUGUUGGGUAGGGGAGCGUUCUGUAAGCCUGUGAAGGUGUACUGUGAGGUAUGCUGGAGGUAUCAGAAGUGCGAAUGCUGACAUAAGUAACGAUAAAGCGGGUGAAAAGCCCGCUCGCCGGAAGACCAAGGGUUCCUGUCCAACGUUAAUCGGGGCAGGGUGAGUCGACCCCUAAGGCGAGGCCGAAAGGCGUAGUCGAUGGGAAACAGGUUAAUAUUCCUGUACUUGGUGUUACUGCGAAGGGGGGACGGAGAAGGCUAUGUUGGCCGGGCGACGGUUGUCCCGGUUUAAGCGUGUAGGCUGGUUUUCCAGGCAAAUCCGGAAAAUCAAGGCUGAGGCGUGAUGACGAGGCACUACGGUGCUGAAGCAACAAAUGCCCUGCUUCCAGGAAAAGCCUCUAAGCAUCAGGUAACAUCAAAUCGUACCCCAAACCGACACAGGUGGUCAGGUAGAGAAUACCAAGGCGCUUGAGAGAACUCGGGUGAAGGAACUAGGCAAAAUGGUGCCGUAACUUCGGGAGAAGGCACGCUGAUAUGUAGGUGAAGCGACUUGCUCGUGGAGCUGAAAUCAGUCGAAGAUACCAGCUGGCUGCAACUGUUUAUUAAAAACACAGCACUGUGCAAACACGAAAGUGGACGUAUACGGUGUGACGCCUGCCCGGUGCCGGAAGGUUAAUUGAUGGGGUCAGCGCAAGCGAAGCUCUUGAUCGAAGCCCCGGUAAACGGCGGCCGUAACUAUAACGGUCCUAAGGUAGCGAAAUUCCUUGUCGGGUAAGUUCCGACCUGCACGAAUGGCGUAAUGAUGGCCAGGCUGUCUCCACCCGAGACUCAGUGAAAUUGAACUCGCUGUGAAGAUGCAGUGUACCCGCGGCAAGACGGAAAGACCCCGUGAACCUUUACUAUAGCUUGACACUGAACAUUGAGCCUUGAUGUGUAGGAUAGGUGGGAGGCUUGGAAGUGUGGACGCCAGUCUGCAUGGAGCCGACCUUGAAAUACCACCCUUUAAUGUUUGAUGUUCUAACGUUGACCCGUAAUCCGGGUUGCGGACAGUGUCUGGUGGGUAGUUUGACUGGGGCGGUCUCCUCCUAAAGAGUAACGGAGGAGCACGAAGGUUGGCUAAUCCUGGUCGGACAUCAGGAGGUUAGUGCAAUGGCAUAAGCCAGCUUGACUGCGAGCGUGACGGCGCGAGCAGGUGCGAAAGCAGGUCAUAGUGAUCCGGUGGUUCUGAAUGGAAGGGCCAUCGCUCAACGGAUAAAAGGUACUCCGGGGAUAACAGGCUGAUACCGCCCAAGAGUUCAUAUCGACGGCGGUGUUUGGCACCUCGAUGUCGGCUCAUCACAUCCUGGGGCUGAAGUAGGUCCCAAGGGUAUGGCUGUUCGCCAUUUAAAGUGGUACGCGAGCUGGGUUUAGAACGUCGUGAGACAGUUCGGUCCCUAUCUGCCGUGGGCGCUGGAGAACUGAGGGGGGCUGCUCCUAGUACGAGAGGACCGGAGUGGACGCAUCACUGGUGUUCGGGUUGUCAUGCCAAUGGCACUGCCCGGUAGCUAAAUGCGGAAGAGAUAAGUGCUGAAAGCAUCUAAGCACGAAACUUGCCCCGAGAUGAGUUCUCCCUGACUCCUUGAGAGUCCUGAAGGAACGUUGAAGACGACGACGUUGAUAGGCCGGGUGUGUAAGCGCAGCGAUGCGUUGAGCUAACCGGUACUAAUGAACCGUGAGGCUUAACCUU
rnacentral:rRNA from 1 species